CCUACGGGGCGCAGCAGUGGGGAAUAUUGGACAAUGGGCGAAAGCCUGAUCCAGCCAUGCCGCGUGUGUGAAGAAGGCCUUCGGGUUGUAAAGCACUUUCAGUGGGGAAGAAAGCCUUGGGGCUAAUACCCUCGAGGAAGGACAUCACCCACAGAAGAAGCACCGGCUAACUCCGUGCCAGCAGCCGCGGUAAUACGGAGGGUGCGAGCGUUAAUCGGAAUUACUGGGCGUAAAGCGCGCGUAGGCGGUCUGAUAAGCCGGUUGUGAAAGCCCCGGGCUCAACCUGGGAACGGCAUCCGGAACUGAUAGGCUAGAGUGCAGGAGAGGAAGGUAGAAUUCCCGGUGUAGCGGUGAAAUGCGUAGAGAUCGGGAGGAAUACCAGUGGCGAAGGCGGCCCUCUGGACUGACACUGACGCUGAGGUGCGAAAGCGUGGGUAGCAAACAGGAUUAGAUACCCGGGUAGUC
rnacentral:rRNA from 1 species